rnacentral:rRNA from 1 species
UAGAUGCCCACCAAGCCGACGAUCGGUAGCCGGACUGAGAGGUUGAACGGCCACAUUGGGACUGAGACACGGCCCAGACUCCUACGGGAGGCAGCAGUGAGGGAUAUUGGUCAAUGGGGGAAACCCUGAACCAGCAACGCCGCGUGAGGGAUGACGGCCUUCGGGUUGUAAACCUCUGUCCUCUGCGAAGAUAAUGACGGUAGCAGAGGAGGAAGCUCCGGCUAACUAC